UACAGCCAUAUCAUUUUGAAAUACCAGUUCUCAUUUGAUCACUAAAGUUAAGCAAUAUCGAGCCUGGUCAGUACCAAUAUGGGUGACAAGUUGGAAAUACCAGGUGCUGUAAG